rnacentral:rRNA from 1 species
GAAUAAACGCUGGCGGCGUGCCUAACACAUGCAAGUCGUACGAGAAAGCCUGUUUUCGGACGGGCGAGUAAAGUGGCGCACGGGUGAGUAACGCGUAGAUAAUCUACCUUUGUGUUCGGGAUAACAGUGCGAAAGCGCUGCUAAUACCGGAUGUGGCCAAGGAGCGGUGGUUUCUUGGUCAAAGUCGGCCUCUCGCAGAAGCUGACGCACGGGGAUGAGUCUGCGUCCUAUCAGCUAGUUGGUAGGGUAAUGGCCUACCAAGGCUUCGACGGGUAGCUGGUCUGAGAGGAUGAUCAGCCACACUGGCACUGGAACACGGGCCAGACUCCUACGGGAGGCAGCAGUGAGGAAUUUUGCGCAAUGGCCGCAAGGCUGACGCAGCAACGCCGCGUGUGCGAAGAAGGCCUUCGGGUUGUAAAGCACUUUUUGAGAGGAUGAGGAAGGACGGUACUCUCAGAAUAAGUCUCGGCUAACUACGUGCCAGCAGCCGCGGUAACACGUAGGAGGCAAACGUUAUCCGGAUUUACUGGGCGUAAAGCGCGUGUAGGUGGUUUGGUAAGUAGGGCGUGAAAGCUCCUGGCUCAACUGGGAGAGGACGUUCUAAACUGCCAAGCUUGAGGAUGGUAGAGGGAGGUGGAAUUCCGGGUGUAGCGGUGGAAUGCGCAGAUAUCCGGAGGAACACCAGUGGCGAAGGCGGCCUCCUGGACCACUCCUGACACUCAGACGCGAAAGCUAGGGUAGCAAACGGGAUUAGAGACCCCGGUAGUCCUAGCCCUAAACGAUGUAGACUUGGCGUCGGUGGUUUAAUCGCCAUCGGUGUCGUAGCUAACGCGAUAAGUCUACCGCCUGGGGACUACGGCCGCAAGGUUAAAACUCAAGGGAAUUGACGGGUCCCCGCACAAGCAGCGGAGCGUGUGGUUUAAUUCGAUGCUACACGAAGAACCUUACCUGGGUUUGACAUAGAGGUAGUAGGGAAGCGAAAGCGGACCGACCCUUCGGGGAGCCUCUACAGGUGUUGCAUGGCUGUCGUCAGCUCGUGUCGUGAGAUGUUCGGUCAGGUCCGCUAACGAGCGCAACCCUCGCUGUGUGUUACAAGUGUCACACGGUACUGCCGAUAUUAAGUCGGAGGAAGGUGGGGAUGACGUCAAGUCAGCAUGACCUUUAUAUCCAGGGCUACACACACGCUACAAUGGCCAGUACAAUGGGUUGCCAAGCCGCGAGGCGGAGCCAAUCCUAAAAAGCUGGCCUCAGUUCAGAUUGCAGUCUGCAACUCGCCUGCAUGAAGAUGGAGUUGCUAGUAACCGCAGGUCAGCGAUACUGCGGUGAAUACGUUCCCGGGCAU